AGUCUGGUGCCAGCAGCCGCGGUAAUUCCNNCUCCAAUAGCGUAUAUUAAAGUUGUUGCAGUUAAAAAGCUCGUAGUUGAACCUUGGGCCUGGCUGGCCGGUCCGCCUCACCGCGUGCACUGGUCCGGCCGGGCCUUUCCUUCUGGGGAGCCGCAUGCCCUUCACUGGGUGUGCCGGGGAACCAGGACUUUUACUUUGAAAAAAUUAGAGUGUUCAAAGCAGGCCUAUGCUCGAAUA
rnacentral:rRNA from 1 species